rnacentral:rRNA from 1 species
AAUAGAUACCCUGGUAGUCCCAGCCUUAAACGAUGCAUACUAGAUGUAGGGAGGCUCAACCCUUUCUGUAUCGGAGUUAACGCAUUAAGUAUGCCGCCUGGGGAGUACGCUCGCAAGGGUGAAACCCAAAGAAUUGACGGGGGCCCGCACAAGCAGUGGAGCAUGUGGUUUAAUUCGAUGCUACGCGAAGAACCUUACCUGGGCUCGAAGUGUAGAGGAAUGUUUUAGAGAUAGAGCAGCUCGAAAGGGUCUCUAUAUAGGUGCUGCAUGGCUGUCGUCAGCUCGUGCCGUGAGGUGUUUGGUUAAGUCCAGCAACGAGCGCAACCCUUAUCGUUAGUUGCCAGCGCGUGAAGGCGGGAACUCUAACGAGACUGCCUAGGUUAACUAGGAGGAAGGUGAGGAUGAUGUCAAGUCCGCAUGGCCUUUAUGUCCAGGGCAACACACGUGCUACAAUGGUCGGUACAGAAGGCAGCGAAGCCGCGAGGUGGAGCAAUCCUAAAAGCCGAUCUCAGUUCGG